rnacentral:piRNA from 1 species
UGCCUUGCUGUGUUUCCCGGUCCCUCC